rnacentral:rRNA from 1 species
AAAGAAAUCAAAAGAGAUUCCCCGAGUAGUGGUGAGCGAAAGGGGAAGAGCCUAAACCAAGGGGUAUACCUCUUGGGGUAGUGGGACAGCAACAUCGAAUCCAGAGACUAGACGAAGCAGCUAAAUACUGCACCAGAGGGGGUGAAAGUCCUGUAGUCGAAAGUCAAAGGAUAGAAGCUGAAUCCCGAGUAGUACGGGGCACGAGAAAUCCCGUAUGAAUCAGCGAGGACCAUCUCGUAAGGCUAAAUACUACUGUGUGACCGAUAGAGAACAAGUACCGCGAGGGAAAGGUGAAAAGAACCCCGGGAGGGGAGUGAAAAAGAACAUGA